UUACUAACACACGUGGUGCUGUGAGAUGUGUGCAGUGAAAGUAUGAGUGAAGCCGAGUAAUAAAGCCCAAUUCAAAAAUAAAGACAGAGGACUGCGGGUUAACAGAGCGUGGGGUGCACGGAGUAAAUAAAAAUAGGCCCAACAUGAUAAACAAACAAAUAAGUAGUGGAGUAAAGAAAAUAAAACUAGGGGUGCAGGAAGCUGAAACCAGUCCAGGUCCAUCCACAUCUUCUUCAUAUCCAUUGAAGCUCCAGUGGCUUCGUUUCCCUCGACCACCGCCGGCGCCACCAUAGAGCUCCCAACCGGAGUCAUCGUAGGUGUGAGCGGAGCCACUCUCACAAUAGAAAAUUUGGGGAAGAAUAAGAUGGUAGUCGAAUGGAGGUGAUAUUGGGGAGAAUUGGUGCCUCUGGUGCGUGAACCCUCUGUCUCAAAAUGGCGAAGGAAGCAGGAGAUGAAAAUUCCCCUCUGUGAUACGCUUUAUGGAGGGAGAUGAAGCGAUGAAGAUGGACGAUGGUGGUGAUUGGAGAAAUCUGGAGAUGGAAUAAGUGGAGAAAGAUGAAGGUUCUCCGUGUGCCCUGUGAGGGAGUGAGAUGGAGAGAGUGGAAAAAACGUGAUCGAUGAUGAUGAAGAUGGUGAAGAUUGUGAGUUGUAAAAGAUGGAAAUGAUGGUGUGUUGGUUCGUGCCUCCUACUCAAUGCUAAAACCGUUUUUUGAAUUUCAUUUAAUAGAAAUAAAUUUCUUUCAUUGAAUACCACGUCUCAAACUGUAAAUGGAGAAGGUUCGUGC
rnacentral:sRNA from 1 species